rnacentral:rRNA from 1 species
ACGGGAGGCAGCAGUGGGGAAUAUUGGGCAAUGGACGAAAGUCUGACCCAGCGACGCCGCGUGAGGGAAGAAGGUCUUCGGAUUGUAAACCUUAGUCAACAGGGAAGAAGCAAGUGACGGUACCUGUGGAGGAAGCCACGGCUAACUACGUGCCAGCAGCCGCGGUAAUACGUAGGUGGCGAGCGUUAUCCGGAUUUACUGGGUGUAAAGGGUGUGUAGGCGGGGACGCAAGUCAGGUGUGAAAAUUAUGGGCUUAACUCAUAACCUGCACUUGAAACUGCGUUUCUUGAGAGUCGGAGAGGUAAAUGGAAUUCCCAGUGUAGCGGUGAAAUGCGUAGAUAUUGGGAGGAACACCAGUGGCGAAGGCGAUUUACUGGACGAUUACUGACGCUGAGACACGAAAGCGUGGGGAGCAAACAGGAUUAGAUACCCUGGUA